UUAACUAUUAUAUAGUACUCAGACGACACUAAUAAUCAGGUUUGUAGAAUCCUCUGGCGGGCGCUCCCCCGCCGAAGCCGGGGCGCGGCCAGGCCGCGAGGCCCGCCAAAGCAACACUCAUAAAAUAAUCAAGGGUGGCGAUCCUACCCCGAAGGGCAGGGAACACUGUAAUGAUCCUUCCGCAGGUUCACCUACGGAAA
rnacentral:misc_RNA from 1 species